UUGAUGGUGCUUGCACCUGAUUGAUUUUGGUCGCCRACGAGUGGCGGACGGGUGAGUAACACGUAGGUAACCUGCCCAGAAGCGGGGGACAACAUUUGGAAACAGAUGCUAAUACCGCAUAACAACGUUGUUYGCAUGAACAACGCUUAAAAGAUGGCUUCUCGCUAUCACUUCUGGAUGGACCUGCGGUGCAUUAGCUUGUUGGUGGGGUAACGGCCUACCAAGGCGAUGAUGCAUAGCCGAGUUGAGAGACUGAUCGGCCACAAUGGGACUGAGACACGGCCCAUACUCCUACGGGAGGCAGCAGUAGGGAAUCUUCCACAAUGGGCGCAAGCCUGAUGGAGCAACACCGCGUGAGUGAAGAAGGGUUUCGGCUCGUAAAGCUCUGUUGUUAAAGAAGAACACGUAUGAGAGUAACUGUUCAUACGUUGACGGUAUUUAACCAGAAAGUCACGGCUAACUACGUGCCAGCAGCCGCGGUAAUACGUAGGUGGCAAGCGUUAUCCGGAUUUAUUGGGCGUAAAGAGAGUGCAGGCGGUUUUCUAAGUCUGAUGUGAAAGYCUUCGGCUUAACCGGAGAAGUGCAUCGGAAACUGGAUAACUUGAGUGCAGAAGAGGGUAGUGGAACUCCAUGUGUAGCGGUGGAAUGCGUAGAUAUAUGGAAGAACACCAGUGGCGAAGGCGGCUACCUGGUCUGCAACUGACGCUGAGACUCGAAAGCRUGGGUAGCGAACAGGAUUAGAUACCCUGGUAGUCCAUGCCGUAAACGAUGAGUGCUAGGUGUUGGAGGGUUUCCGCCCUUCAGUGCCGGAGCUAACGCAUUAAGCACUCCGC
rnacentral:rRNA from 1 species